ensembl:snoRNA SNORA70 Small nucleolar RNA SNORA70
UUGUAGAUUUAAUUCAACUAUUACAUAUUCUAAGUAUUAAAAAACAACUUUAUCACGGGGGCCUGGUGUGCAAUGGCUGCAAACAGCAGCCUGCUUGGUUGUGUAUGCAGCCUGUUACUCGUAUACGUUGCUCUAAGGGACCUUGGAGACAUUC